GAUGAACGCUGGCGGCGUGCCUAAUACAUGCAAGUCGAGCGAACGGACGAGAAGCUUGCUUUUCUGAUGUUAGCGGCGGACGGGUGAGUAACACGUGGAUAACCUACCUAUAAGACUGGGAUAACUUCGGGAAACCGGAGCUAAUACCGGAUAAUAUUUUGAACCGCAUGGUUCAAAAGUGAAAGACGGUCUUGCUGUCACUUAUAGAUGGAUCCGCGCUGCAUUAGCUAGUUGGUAAGGUAACGGCUUACCAAGGCAACGAUGCAUAGCCGACCUGAGAGGGUGAUCGGCCACACGGGAACUGAGACACGGUCCAGACUCCUACGGGAGGCAGCAGUAGGGAAUCUUCCGCAAUGGGCGAAAGCCUGACGGAGCAACGCCGCGUGAGUGAUGAAGGUCUUCGGAUCGUAAAACUCUGUUAUUAGGGAAGAGCAUAUGUGUAAGUAACUGUGCACAUCUUGACGGUACCUAAUCAGAAAGCCACGGCUAACUACGUG
rnacentral:rRNA from 1 species